GAUGAACGCUGGCGGCGUGCCUAAUACAUGCAAGUCGAGCGAACGGACGAGAAGCUUGCGGCUCUGAUGUUAGCGGCGGGCGGGUGAGUAACACGUGGAUAACCCACCUAUAAGACGGGGAUAACUUCGGGAAACCGGAGCUAAUACCGGAUAAUAUUUGGAACCGCAUGGUGCAAGAGAGAAAGACGGUCUUGCGGUCACUUAGAGAUGUAUCCGCGCUGUAUUAGCUAGUUGGUAAGGUAACGGCUUACCAAGGCAACGAAGCAUAGCCGACGGGGGAGGGGGAUCGGCCACCCUGGAGCGUAGACGCGGUCCUUGCUCCUGCGGGAGGCAGCAGUAGCGAAUCUUCGGCAAUGGUCGGAAGCAUGACGGAGUAACGCCGCGUGAGUGAUGACGGUCUCCGGAUCGUAAAGAUCUGUUAUUAGGGAAGAACAUAUGUGUACGUAACUGUGCACAUCUUGACGGUAGCUAAUGAGAAAGCCCCGGCUAACUACGUG
rnacentral:rRNA from 1 species